CAGCUAGAACUGGCCAUCAUCUGCAUAUUGCCAGGCUGCCACAAGACCAUUGAGAAGGACGAAAUCUCCAUUGAAAGUCCAGACUGAGACCCACCCUAACAUCCACCUAUAUAAAGAUGACUUUCUAAGGCCAGGCCCUGCUGUUAAACAGUAUCAAGCAAUGGCCUUAAGCAGCAGACAAGGUGACAAGAGAGACUACAGCAUGUUGUGUGGCCUUCUGCUCCACCCCAAGCUCCCCUGUGCCCUUCAGGUGUGGUGGCCUUCAGCUCACUCCAUCUAGCAUUGAAGGACAUGUCAACCACCAGUCCAAAUAAUUGUUCUGCAUUUUGAAAACAGCCCCAGGUGGGGAGAGGGCUUUGCUUUUCUAGCUCUUAAAAGCCACUUGCCACGUCCACGUUGACACGGGGGGACCUCAAUUAAAAAGUUGUGGCAGCUGGUCGUCCGGGCCCAUCAAAGCUUUUCGACGUGUUCUUGACCCGGCUUUCAAAGUGCCUGACGGAGCAACGGUGGCGCUUCCCGAGAUCUUGCUGAACGAGCCGAUUUGAUCCAUUAACGCCAACGUCUUACAAAUACCAUCGAGCAGCACAGGAGAGACAAGAAUUAAUGUGCCCAAGAAAAGCUAAGCACCUGCCGGAGCCCCUUGUCCUUCCCAGAUAACA